GACGAACGCUGGCGGCGUGCUUAACACAUGCAAGUCGAGCGGUAAGGCCCUUUCGGGGGUACACGAGCGGCGAACGGGUGAGUAACACGUGGGUGACCUGCCCUCAGCUCUGGGAUAAGCCUGGGAAACCGGGUCUAAUACUGGAUAUGACUCCAUGACGCAUGUUGUGGGGUGGAAAGCCUUGUGCGGCUGAGGAUGGGGCCCCGCGGCCUAUCAGCUUGUUGGUGGGGUGAGGCCUACCAAGGCGACGACGGGUAGCCGGCCUGAGAGGGCGACCGGCCACACUGGGACUGAGACACGGCCCAGACUCCUACGGGAGGCAGCAGUGGGGAAUCUUGCGCAAUGGGCGAAAGCCUGACGCAGCGACGCCGCGUGAGGGAUGACGGCCU
rnacentral:rRNA from 1 species